AUUUAAUACUGUGUACGAUCUAUAAUUGCUAGGGAGUAUUUUGUUUUCUUCCCGUAGGUGGCCUCUCUUUCCCAAGUCCCAGCAGCAGCAGAUGAUUUAGCAUAAAUGAUGAAACGGGUUUGUUUGAAAUCGGACGGUAGGAAUCGGCGGGAAGCCGCCGCUAGCGGUGGGCGGUGUUGGUAAGAAGCAGGGAUGUGAGUGUGGAACAAGGGUUGGAUUAUGUUGCAACUUGGAACUCUUCCAUGCUUCUGUCUGAUGAUCUAAACCAGGCCAUCUCUGCUUACACACACAAAAGGAAACCUGCCUAUGCUAAGCUUUGAAUUCUACAUUUUAUUGUUAAUAAUAAGAAUGUCUAUCAUGAAUAAUGAAUAGAAGGAGGCGAACCCUAAGGCCAGUUGAAAAUAAUGUAAUAAUUCGGGUCUUUAAAUUGAAGUUUAAUCAACUUAUAUAUGUGAAAUCUCUUUAAGAGAUGAUAUCGUUUUUAAUUUAA